rnacentral:rRNA from 1 species
UACGGAGGGUGCGAGCGUUAAUCGGAAUUACUGGGCGUAAAGCGCAUGCAGGUGGUUCAUUAAGUCAGAUGUGAAAGCCCGGGGCUCAACCUCGGAACUGCAUUUGAAACUGGUGAACUAGAGUACUGUAGAGGGGGUAGAAUUUCAGGUGUAGCGGUGAAAUGCGUAGAGAUCUGAAGGAAUACCAGUGGCGAAGGCGGCCCCCUGGACAGAUACUGACACUCAGAUGCGAAAGCGUGGGGAGCAAACAGG